CUACUACUCCCUCCGUCCGAAAAUACUUGUCAUUGAAAUGGAUGUAUCUAAAUGUAUUUUAGUUCUAGACACAUCCAUUUUGAUGACAAGUAAUUCCGGACGGAGGGAGUAUUAU
rfam:Triticum aestivum genome assembly, contig: Triticum_aestivum_CS42_TGACv1_scaffold_129528_2BL